rnacentral:rRNA from 1 species
AGACCCGAAACCCGGUGAUCUAGCCAUGGGCAGGUUGAAGGUUGGGUAACACUAACUGGAGGACCGAACCGACUAAUGUUGAAAAAUUAGCGGAUGACCUGUGGCUGGGGGUGAAAGGCCAAUCAAACCGGGAGAUAGCUGGUUCUCCCCGAAAGCUAUUUAGGUAGCGCCUCGUGAAUUCAUCUCCGGGGGUAGAGCACUGUUUCGGCUAGGGGGCCAUCCCGGCUUACCAACCCGAUGCAAACUGCGAAUACCGGAGAAUGUUAUCACGGGAGACACACGGCGGGUGCUAACGUCCGUCGUGAAGAGGGAAACAACCCAGACCGCCAGCUAAGGUCCCAAAGUCAUGGUUAAGUGGGAAACGAUGUGGGAAGGCCCAGACAGCCAGGAUGUUGGCUUAGAAGCAGCCAUCAUUUAAAGAAAGCGUAAUAGCUCACUGGUCGAGUCGGCCUGCGCGGAAGAUGUAACGGGGCUAAACCAUGCACCGAAGCUGCGGCAGCGAACGUAUCACCCAAGACAACUUUACGGAGUUGACGAUUGACGGAGCGAAGCGACGUCAAAGCGUUCAUUAAAGUCGAGUUGGCUUAGGGAUACGUUCGUUGGGUAGGGGAGCGUUCUGUAAGCCUGUGAAGGUGUGUCGUGAGGCAUGCUGGAGGUAUCAGAAGUGCGAAUGCUGACAUAAGUAACGAUAAAGCGGGUGAAAAGCCCGCUCGCCGGAAGACCAAGGGUUCCUGUCCAACGUUAAUCGGGGCAGGGUGAGUCGACCCCUAAGGCGAGGCCGAAAGGCGUAGUCGAUGGGAAACGGGUUAAUAUUCCCGUACUUGGUGUUACUGCGAAGGGGGGACGGAGAAGGCUAUGUUGGCCGGGCGACGGUUGUCCCGGUUUAAGCGUGUAGGUGUGUGUUCCAGGUAAAUCCGGUUCACUUUAACACUGAGGCGUGAUGACGAGGCACUACGGUGCUGAAGCAACAAAUGCCCUGCUUCCAGGAAAAGCCUCUAAGCAUCAGGUAACAUCAAAUCGU